GACGUAGGGUGCGAGCGUUGUCCGGAUUUAUUGGGCGUAAAGAGCUCGUAGGCGGCUCGUCGCGUCGACCGUGAAAACCCGCAGCUUAACUGCGGGCUUGCGGUUGAUACGGGCGGGCUAGAGUUCGGUAGGGGAGACUGGAAUUCCUGGUGUAGCGGUGAAAAUGCGCAGAUAUCAGGAGGAACGACCGGCUGGCGAAGGCGGGUCUCUGGGCAUUAACUGACGCUGAGGAGCGAAAGCAUGGGGAGCGAACAGG
rnacentral:rRNA from 1 species